rnacentral:rRNA from 1 species
CCUACGGGAGGCAGCAGUGGGGAAUAUUGGGCAAUGGGCGCAAGCCUGACCCAGCAACGCCGCGUGAAGGAAGAAGGCUUUCGGGUUGUAAACUUCUUUUAAGAGGGAAGAGCAGAAGACGGUACCUCUUGAAUAAGCCACGGCUAACUAAGUGCCAGCAGCCGCGGUAAUACGUAGGUGGCAGGCGUUGUCCGGAUUUCAUGGGUGUAAAGGGCGUGUAGGCGGGCUGACAAGUCCGAUGUGAAAUUCCGGGGCUCAACCCCGGACCUGCAUUUGAACCUGUUGGUCUUGAGUAUCGGAGUGGCAGGCGGAAUUCCUAGUGUAGCGGUGAAAUGCGUAGAUAUUAGGAGGAACACCAGUGGCGAAGGCGGCCUGCUGGACGACAACUGACGGUGAGGCGCGAAAGCGUGGGGAGCAAACAGGAUUAGAUACCCGAGUAGUC